UGAAAUUGUUUGAGGUGAUUGAGACAGAGAAGACACUUUAUUUGGUGAUGGAGUAUGCCAGUGGUGGAGAGGUAUUUGACUAUCUGGUAGCUCAUGGCAGAAUGAAGGAGAAGGAGGCCAGGUCCAAGUUCAGACAGAUUGUAUCCGCAGUGCAGUAUUGUCACCAGAGAGGAUAGUACACCGGGAUCUAAAAGCUGAAAACCUGUUGUUAGAUGCAGAC